rnacentral:misc_RNA from 1 species
GUAGAUGGCUUUUAUUACACUUUCAUGGUCCUGGUACCAUAUAAAUUUAUAGGAAUCUUCUGUUACAGAAACACCCUUCUUGUGCAUCACAGAUGUAGCAUCAGCAUCCAUGACAUUGCAACCAGCUUGCUUAUUUUGGGCAUUCCUUGAUCUUUCCCUUGCCUCAUCCAUGGCAUUAUUGAAACCCUCAAUAUCAACUCGUAAUCCUCUUUCUUCUGCCAUCAACUGCGUCAAAUCUAAUGGGAAGCCAUAUGUGUCCCACAAGACAAAUGCAUCCUGGCCACUCAAUACCUUCCCCUGAACCUCCUGGGCAGCCUUCUUAAAUUUCUCAAUUCCCUUAAGCAAAGUCUUGCCAAAACUUGCUUCCUCUUCUGCAAUUAUUUCUCUGAUGUAUUCUUCAUUUUGUUUUAGCUCUGGGAAAACAUCACCCAUCACUUUCACAACAACAUUUACAAGCCCAUUAAAAAAUCCUUCUUGAGCAUUCAAGACCUCACUUCCAUACCGAACAGCUCGGCGUAAAAUCCGUCGGAGAACAUACUCACGACCCUCAUUGCCUGGACAAGAACCAUCAGCAAUGGCAAAUGAGAGUGUCCUAAUGUGAUCAGCAACAACCCUGUAGGCCAUAUCAACCUUGUCUACAUCAUCAAGACCAACUUUUCCAGAAUAAGGUCGUGCCCCUGUUGCCAGCUGGAUAGCAUCAAAGAUGGGCACGAACACAUCAGUAUCAUAAUUGCUCAUCUUGUUCUGAAGUACAGAAGUCAAUCUCUCAAAACCCAUUCCUGUGUCAACAUGCUUAGCAGGAAGAGAUUUCAAGGAGCCAUCACUUUCCCUAUUGAACUGAAUAAAGACGAGGUUCCAUAUCUCGAUGCAUGUAGGAUCAUCAUUAUUAACCAAUAGUGCUGCAUCACGAUUACCAACUCUAUCAUAAUGUAUUUCGGUACAAGGGCCACAAGGACCAGUAUCACCCAUCUCCCAAAAAUUAUCUUUACAGCCAAAUGGUAGCACACGUCCAGGUGGCAGAAAUUGAAGCCAUAUAUCUCUUGCUUCAGUAUCAGGAGCAAGACCAGCUUUCUCAUCACCACCAAAAUAGGUAGCAUAGAACCGAUCAGCAGGCAACUUAUACACCUUAGUUAAAAGCUCCCAGGCCCACUCAAUCGCCUCUUUCUUGAAAUAAGCACCAAAUGACCAAUUUCCCAACAUCUCAAAGAAAGUAUGGUGGUAAGUGUCCUUCCCCACAUCAUCAAGAUCAUUAUGUUUACCCCCUGCACGAAUGCACUUUUGGGUAUUGCAUGCACGAGUUAGCUUACUCAAAGCGGUGUUGGGGUCAGCAGUUCCCAAAAAAAUUGGCUUGAAUUGGUUCAUGCCAGCAUUAGCAAAGAGGAGAGUGGGAUCAUUGAGAGGAACGACAGGACUCGAUUUCCAAUGAACGUGAUUUUUAUCCUCAAAGAACUUGAUGAAAGUAUCUCUGACUUUCUUCGCUGGCCACUCGGGCUCCUUUGGAUCUAAGCCCGGCAUGACUGGAAUUCGAGAAGAUGGAGAAGAAGAAGAAGAAGAUGAGAAGGAAGCGAAGAGAGUUGCAAGCGGUUGACUGGGAGAAACCCUAGC